UGACCUGUCAGAGCACAGCACACAAGCAAAACACACCAUAAAGUGAAACGCCUGAAAUAAACUGCCUCCAUUUACCUAGCAUCACUGUCAGCCUGGGAACCACAUUUUCUCAGCCUGUGUUUGCAGGUGAUCCACCCUGAGGGUUCUUCUAGCUGUGCCUGUCCUACCGAGGCACUCAUACAGGAGCAGCUGCUUGGACCUGAGAGGCUGGAGCCAGCUUCUGCCCACCUGCGAGGUCAAGGGUCUGAGGGAGAGAGAAAUGGACUCUAGAUUGGAGGAAUGGCAAAGAUUUCUGUCAAAUCCAGAAAUAAAAAGAAUGUGCCAUCUAGAUAAAUGAGGGAAAUGCACUGAAUUAAGACAAAACACAGGUUUUCUCUAUCCUGAACCAGACAUGAGACAGCAGGAUGGUAUUGCCAUUCCAAAGCUACUCUGUCUUUCUGUCCUUGCCUUUGACAUCCAUCCCCAUUCUUAAACAGGCUCCUUUUGCCUUUUAUAUACAAUCCGUGUCAGCUGACAUGAGAAAAAUAUGCUGUAUAUCAGCAGUGUGUUAUGGUAAUGCUACUUUAGCAGUGUUUCCUGAUUGCUGGCCAGAAUCAGCAAAGAAGCCAGUCCAUGCUUCAUAAGCCACCAUGUUUUAUGGUUAAAGCUGGAUUUUAUUUCCUUUUCUGAAACUAUAAUGAAAUAUUUUAUUUUCCUAAUCAGAACAAGUGCCACAUGCUCUUAAGAUAUAAUUUGAAUUAUCUUCAAGUAGGAAGAAAACCUUAAACCCCAGAUAAUAACUGUUUAAAGAUCUGGAGAACUUCUAAAACACAUUUUGAGAUUAGUAUCUGAAUUCUUUAGGACUGACUCUCAUUUGAAAAAGUCUUCUAUAAACAGUUCAUUUUGUAUAAAGUGGAAAUUUACAGAAAACCUUGUCUUCUUGCUAAACUCUGUCAUUUAAUACUUCUGCAAGAAGAAAGAAAAGAAGGUCUCACAGUGCAGUUUCAAGGGCCACAGCAGUAAACCCUCCUUUCACAGAGCUGUACUGUGAGCUGGACAGGCUCUUGCCCAGUGCUACUCUCACCUAUCAGCCUUUUUCCAGGAGUAGAGGCAAUGCGUCCCACUGCCUCAUGUGCUGCAGGGGGACCCUGACCUGAGGUACUGAAAAACAGAAGUUGUAACAUUUUCAGUGUCUACGUCAGCAGAAUGAGUAAUGAGCCGUACAUUAAUUGUAAAAUACACCUCCAACUCCUACUGAAAUGCAGGGCCUAAUAAUGCUAAUGGCCUUUCUAUAAAUGGCUAUGACAAUUCUACCCAACAUCUGCCAGUCUAAAAGCCUGCUUUCAGUUGUCAUGCUUCAACCACCUGGCUGAGACUUCGUUCCAGAACUGAACCUCCUGACAUCUACCCUUUUCUGCAGCCUCUAGAUAAGGCUACUGCCUCACAGGAUAAAUACCAUUCUCUGUUUAAAGAGAAAGUCUGAGAACUACAAACAUCUCUUACGUUCAGUUGAACUCACCAACCCUUCUCGGCUGCCCCUGUUCACCUGGUAAUGUGAUGUGUAAAUCAACAAUGCCCCAUAAGAUGUCAUCAGGGUGUUUAUUACUUGCCAGCUCCCAGUGCCACUCUGGGCAAUACCCAGAUAGCACAGCUUAAACCAUUCUUGCCCUGCUCAGAGACCAAAUGUCCAGCUUUUUCAGACUCCUGAAAGGAGUCAGACUGAUAAGACUCAACAGACAAGAUAUAUUACUGUGCACAGGGCAAUCAAGAAUCCUUCCUUCUUCAUUCGUGGUGAGGAUGGGAACAGGAGCCCUGGCUGAAGCAAAGAUACAUUUCUCAGGACAGACUGAGAGCACAUUCUGACACAAUCUUGUUAUAAGGGCUCUUGUGAGCUCUGGCACCUCUAUUAAUUUUGGAAGAGGGAUUGGAAGUGUUAGGCUAUACAAGACAAGAACUCAGAAGAUGCCCUCAGAGCUGGUAUGUGAAACUGAAACUGAUUUUUGAAUCAUCUGCUUUUCUAUAAAAUGGAGAAGCUGAAUUUUCUAUCUUGCACCUGUGCAUGGAGCUGCAGAUUGGUGGCAACUGUCCUGCCGGAGCUGGGAGUCCCUGUUUGUGGCAUCAGUAGCCUGGCAGUGGAAGCAGCUGAAGACAAUGAUUGCUUAUCCACAAAGGAGAGAAACUUCGUGGAAAGCAGCAGCAAGAAAGUACCUUUGAAAUGUACUAUUCGGAAGUUUUACUGUGUUUUCCCUAUAAAGUUGCCCUGGCAAUGAGCUGCGUGCCUGUGAGGCUGCCGUGUUUGAGGGCGAUGCAGCUGUAGUGGCAGAAUGUUCCAUCAGCUGAAUCCUGUCCUUCCUUGGAAUGCACUGUGAGUCAGGAUACCAGCUAGUUUGCAGUUUUAUGCUGAGUUGCAGGUGAAAACAGGGAAGUGUCAGUGCUGUUAUGCUUGAGAUACACCGGGAAAAGUGAUGGGCCCCAAAACUGGAAAAGCCUGGGGAAAUAGCCUGGCCAAGAACAGAUUCUAUAUGAAAUGGCAAGAGACCUGCUGUUCUCUUCACUUGCACCUCUGCUGACAGCAGCAUCAGGAGCUCAGGAGGAGAGGAUCAGAUGGGAUGAAGACAGCUCUCCUCAUUCUGUCUUCUCUGCAGCCUGAUAGAUCUUCAGACAAGCUGUCAUUUGGUCAUCUGACACAGCAUUGUGUGGUUCUGUGACACAGAUAUGGCCAGACAAAGGCAGUGCUGCCAACCACUCUAAAUAAAGCAAGAUCCUUCCAAUUUCUGUCAAUGGAUAUUUUGUGGACAGUUUCUCUCCCGCUGUGCUGUAAGAUCCCAGCAAGGGGCAAGGGGCUGCAGAUAGGUUCCUCUUGGCUUGGUGUGUACAUGAGGGAUUGCUAAGAGCUGCCUUUGAACCUGGCAGUGGGUCCCACUGAUGCAGCUCA